UAGCAAAUGUAAAAGUGCUUUAUGCUUUAUUCCUCAGUUUCUUGUGACUUUUUAAAAUUUCUUAACUUUUCUUGAAAUAUAUUUAAACUUACAAGAAAGCUGCAAAAAUAAUACCAAGAGAAGUUGACCACCGGCCUGACAGCAUGGGGAGCUCUGCUGACGCACUUCCCAGUGAAACUGAUGAAAAUUGUUUUAAGACAAGAAAACAAUAACAAUUUAAAGCCUAAGGAAUUAGUCCUAAGAGAAAAGAGCAAAUAAAGAAGUAUCUAUUCUAGGAAAAAAUGGUAAGAAAUGCAGGAAUCUGUGGUGUUUCAACAAAGAUCUCUUCUUCCUGUGCCUUCCUAGUUCUGCAAAGCAGAGACCCCACUCUGCCUUGAAACAGGAAACACUCGGCCUCCUCUCCCCAGGCUCCCAGAGGGAGGGGCAGAUGUCACCAGUUCUCACUCUGCCUGUUAUUACCUGAUACUGAGGCUAAGUCCUGGGUGAAGUGGCUGACAGAUGGAGGAUUCUUUCUUUCAAACAGCUCCCCUCAUGGAACAGAGGCUCUUCCUUGGGCUGUUUUGAUGUCCAUCUGAUUUCCUCCAUGGACUGUUGGAGUUCUGUCUAUCUGUUGUCUGCUUUGAUGAAGCACUGAAGAAAUGUGUUGAGGACAGAGUGUGACAGAGAGACAGUCAAGGUCAGAGGAGAGAAAAAUCAUGGGAGCCCAAAGGCUGCCAGCUGGCUCAGCCAUGUCCCAGGCCUGGAGGAAGAUGCUGGCACAGGUGGAGGCUGAGCCCAGGGAUAGAUGUGUCAUUUCUGUGUCGUCCUGCUGCUGUUCCUUACUCGCCAUCAGCUACCUUCCAUCAGCUACUGUUGCUUCACAGUGAGGAACAUUUUCCCAACACGAAAUCCCUGGUACACAAGAGAUGCUCACUAAAUAUUAAAGUGAAUGAACAGAAUUGGAAGAAAAGGAGCUGAGAAAACUACCUCCUUUCUAGUUGUAACUCCAUGAAGCUACUUGUCUUGGACCUUGGAGGAAGACUGGGUAAGCAUGCCACAUUAUUUGCAUGUGGGGUUCUGUUCCUUGUAAUUUUGACAAAACAAAACAAUGACCAAUGUAUUAAAUGAGAAAUACAAUUGUAUUGUAUGCAAUGGCCAUAGAGUAAUUGGUAGCUUUGGUCUUGACCUCUAGUGGUUAGUACUCUUAUCACCAACUCAUCAGCGAGUAGGGGAAGCUUACAUAGCAUGUUUCAGAAGGUAUAGGCCUUGCCAUGGGAUUGGAGAAGUGCCUUCCAAUCCUGGACUAUGUGCCCAGGUCACCAUCACAGGCCUUUUGUAAUGAUGUCAGUUUUCUGAUAAGCGAUUGGAACCCAUCAAGCCUCUUAGACAUUGGAAAAUACGUGAGCCUCCCCAGUCCUUUAUUCUCACUAACCCUUUGUAGAUUCAUAGAUGAGAUGUUAGUCUGUGACAGAUAAUCUCUAUUACCUCACUUGUAUAUUUAGGUCUCUAAUUAUGGAUUCAUUCAUUCAACAGAUACUGCCUAAACACCAGUACACAGGUACAGUCCCUGACUUCAAGGAGGCUGUGGUUUAAUGAGGGGGUCAGACAAGUAAAUGAAUAAUUACAAUGCGUUAUGACAAGUGCAAUAAUAGAAAUAUAUUUAGGGUUUAAGGCUGUAAAAAAAUUUCUUUCAUUUACUUAUAAAUACAGAAAUUGAUUUAUUAGAAUUGCUGAUAAACCAAGACCAAAUAUAAGGAAGUAUUUAUAGGCCAUAAAUUAAGAAAUUAAUACCUUGAGUUUAAUCCCUGUAUUGUUGAAUAUAGGAAUUGUGACAUGUUUCCUUGCUGGAACUUAUUUAGCAUCUACAGAUAUAGUUUUAGUUUUUAAUUGUAUUUCACUGGAAAGUUUGGUGUAAAUGUAAGGUCUAAUUUUAAGUCUUUAUAUCUGUACUAAACCCUCAUGCUCUUGGACUGUGUUACUAUCACAUGGGAUUCCCAGGUGCAGGUGGUACCGCUGCAUGUGAACCUGAUUCUUCCUCGCUAAGAUGAUUCCAUCUGUGCUGAUACAAGGACUCUUUAUUUUUAGGACAGUAAUUGCUAUGGUUACCGUGAACCACAAUUUGGCCUUCAGUACUAUGUCCCUGAACAGUUAGUAUUCCCCACAGAAAUUUUGUAGCAAGAGAAUAAAUGAAAUAAAAUAUAUCAGAAAUAGCACAAGAAGAGCUAUAAUCACAAAAUGUUCACAUAAUUGUGUAAUUCAUUUAAAUAUAUAAUGCAAAGGGUUUUUUUUGAAAUCUCUUUUUUCUUCUACAAUAAGAUAAAAAUGUCUGACAAAUGUAUACAAAAUAAGUACAUUUAGAAAGAUGUUUGAUUAAUCACCAAAUUAACUGGAAAAUAUAAGUAAAAUGCUGUUAUUAUUUCCAAAUUCAGCUUGGGUACUGAGUAGUUAAAAUUAAAGCAGGUGGAAUAUUUGCAGGGGGUACUAAAUGCUUUAUUUAUAAUGAGAUUUACUUAAUAAUUUACAUAUACUAUACCUGGUAAAAAUCUAAAAGCAAUAUAUUUCUUUUUAGCCAUAAUUUGCUUUGCAGAACACUGUUUGGAACAGUAUUAAGAAUUAUUCUUUCAGUUUUAAAACACAAAAUGAAAAUAUAUGACUUUUCCAAAUGACACAAAACCUUCUGAUUUAUGUCUUAAGUAUAUGUAAUGUUCUUAUUUUGUAAUAGAUUUCCAGAAACUUAAGUCUUUAGCAACAACCAAAAUUCUUUCCACUUAGUUUUGCAACUUGGGGCCACAUUUCAAAAGAGCUUUUUUUUUUUCUUUUUGCAUGUGUGAUUCAACAGAAAAAUAUAUGGACCUUGAGACAAGGAAUUUUGUCUUUUUUUUUUUUAACAACUAAAGCCGUGUUUUAAGCGGUUUGUGUGUAUGAAAGGUAAUUCAAUUUAAUUCAUUAUAUGGCAUUUAACAAUUUAAUCUUCGUAUGAGUUAGCAUUUUGAAUAGCUUAUUAUAUGUUUAAUAUUUAUACUAUAUGAUAAAUAUUAUACUGUAUAAUAUAAAUAUGAUAUAUAUGUUAUAUAUAACAUAAUAUGUAAAAUUAAAGUAAAACUCUUUACAGCAGAUCCUUUCUGAUAGAAUCAUUGGCAGGCAAUGCAAUUUCCAUUGGGUGGUCUAGUUUCAAAGUUCCUGAACUGAUUUUCUGACCCAAAACAAAAAUAAAAACAAAAGCAAAAAAGAAAAACCCCAUUUCCCUCUGCAAACUGGUAUUGAGGUAAAUCCGGACUCCACUCUCAAAUAUAGCUGUUUAAUUUGAAUACCUUGAAACUAUAGAGAUUCUGAAGACCCAUGAGGAUUAUAUCACAUUUUGAAACUCAUGUUGCCAAUUGAGAGAGAGGCCAUCAUGAAAUAACUAAUUUUCGUUGCUAACCUACCUGAGUUUUAUAUAGUAAACUAUAAAUUAAAAAAAAAACACUCAAAAUCUGAUGAGUCCUUUGAAUGCUAUUUUUUUAAUAGCAGCUGAAUUCUGAGAAUUACAUUAAAUACCAAUCCUUGUCUUAACACUUUAUAUGUAAUAUGUAAAUAUUAUCUUUGUAUGUUAAGAAUACACAGAUACAGGAAUUAAGGGUAAUACAAAGAUUAAACUUUUUUUUUUUAUAGUGAAGGUACUGGGAAUUGAACCCAGGACAUUGUGCAUGCUAAGCAUGCACUGUUACACUGAACAAUACCCUCUCCUCAAAGAUUAAACAUAUUUUUUAAUGUUUCGCUAAUCAUGAUACAUACUGUCAUUAGUAUAUCAGAUUAAUACUCUUAGGGCAAGGGCCAUUGUACUGAUAGUGGGUUCAAGUACAUAUUUUGAUUUUCUUUUUUUUGGUUGACUUUUCGUGAUUAGACCAUUGUAUUUAUAUGGUAAUGUUGCUGACAAAGAGUUCAUAACUGUUAUUUUCUUCUUGUUUGCUUGCUCCUACGUAUCAGUAUUGGCUUCAGUCAGCAGUCUUUUUGUAAAAAUCUUUUCAAGGCGUUUAUCUACUGCGUGAAGGUGAAUUUAGUUAAAACUAGUAGAUAAUGAAUUCUAGGAACCGAGCAAAUAUAAAGUACAACCUGGAGCAGUUUGCUGAAAAGCUCCUUUGUUCUUCCCUUUGGAGGGUAGAACUCCCACUUCCCUCUCAGCAUACCUUAGUUACCAAAAAUUCUACAUGAUCACUUGGUAUCCACCAAAUAAGGGAAAACUCCACUGUUUAUCUAUACAUUAAACAUUAGCAAUAUUGAAUUCAUUUUUAUUAAAUACAAGUUUAAACAUUUUCUCUUCUCACACCAAUGCAUGGUCUUGCACAUCCCCUGAGUUGUGUGUAUUCCAUUUGGGGGACUGCCAUGUCAGAAAAUGAGUCUAUUUUCUGAUUUUUUUUCUAUUCACCUGGGUUUUUUAAAAGGAAAAUGGCAAACGUAAUCAGUAAUAGAGAAGAAAAAGAGAAGAAUGAAGGAUAAGACUCAAUUUAUUUCUACUGGAAUAGUUCUAUCUAAUCUCUAACCAAGCAGACCUUGCCAACGUCCCUCCCUCCAAAGUUAAACAAAUUUAUGUUAAUAUGUGGACUGUGUUAAAACCCAAUAUAAUGUAUCUUCCUUUCCACAGUAUCAUUAAGGUCUCUGUUUGAUUGAAGCAGCAAGUGGAUGACUGUAAAUACAACCUAUUGUAUAAGUUCUUCUUGUCUCUGCUGCUUCCAUCAUGUCCAUAUCCUGCAACCUCUUCUUUUCCUUUUUUUAUUUUCUUCUGUUUCUUCCAUCAUAUUAACUGUCCACAUGGGUAAAUUCCUAUUCUUUCCAUAUUUGUCUUUGUACACAUUUUCCAAGCCAACUUGUCCCCCCAAAAUCCUCAUGUUACUUAAAAAAAGUCUGAAUCUGUUUCAACAGGUGUAUCAAAACAAGAGUUCUCUUCAAAGUACAAGUAUACAGUAAAAUGACUGCAUUCAUUAUUUUCUUUUUCACAAAAUAUUACAUGCCAUACUUUAGAUUUUUAAAAAUCCCUACUGUUUUCUUCAAGCAUAGUUAGAAAGUAGCUCUGAGAAAAAAAUCCAAAAGGAUAAUUUUAUGGCAUUUAACUACUUACCAGAUACAACAUGAUAGGUAAUGUAAUAUAGUGGUUACCAUGGGCUGUGUAGUCUGAUCUGGAUUCAAAAUCUAACUCUAGAACUUACUAGCUACACCACCUUAGGUUUUAUUACUUUACUAUGGACUUGGCCAACAUACAAAUUGGGGCUAAUAAUACUUUUAAUAAUCAUCUACAUUGCUUAAUUAUGAGGCCAGUAGACACAUAAUUAGCAUUUCUGAAUGUACUUUGAUCAUACGUUUUAAGAAGUAUCACAUUUAAUUUGUCCUAGUCCAAGUAAUUGCAACAGUUGAAAUGACAGUGGUUUGUAUGCUUUGCAGCUCCUAAGGAAUUCAGGCAAUAAUUUUCAAAUUAAGAUACAAAUAAAGCUUUACUUUUUGUGAUUUCAAUUCUCUUUUAUUGUUUUAUGGCCCAGAAUGUAGUCUGUUGUGGUAAAUAUUCCCUGUGUCCUUGAAAAGAAUGUUCUACUAUUCUGGAGUGGAGCAGUCUAUAAAUAUUAUAUCAAGAUAGUAGAUAGUGUUGUCCAAGUCUUCUAAAGCCUUACUAAUCUUCUACUUGUUAAAUCAAUUACUGAGAAAGGAAUGUUGAGAUUUCCCACUAUAAUUGCAGAUUUAUUAUUUCUUUUAGUUCUAUUUGUUUUGCUUUAUAUAUUUUGAAGUUCUGUGCAUAAACUUUUUUAUUUUCUUAAUGAAUCAACCCCUUUAUUAUCAUAAAAUAUCCCUCAUUAUAAUAUUCUUUAUUAUAAAAUCUUUUUUUUCUGAUAUUCCUUGCAACUGAAUUAAUUAGUGUUUGCACAGCAUAAUCUAUUUCCUUUCUUUUACAUUUAUCCUGUGUCUUUCUUUAAGGGGGCGGUAAUUUGGUUUAUUUAUUUUUAGAGGCAGUACUGGGGAUUGAAUGCAGGAAUUUAUGCACACUAAAUAUGCACUCUAACAGUGAGUUAUACCCUACCCUGCUACCUUGUGUCUUUAAAGUGUCUCCUUGUAAACAGCAUAUAGUUGGGUAUUGCUGUUUUGCCCAGGCUGACAAUCUGUCUUGUAAUUAAAUUUUAGACCACUUACACCUGAUGUAAUUAUUGAUAUGAUUAAGUUUAAAUCUACCAUUUUGCUAUUUCUUUUUGUCCCAUUGCUCUUUGUUCCAUUAAACUUUCCUUAUCUUCUUUUGCAUAUCCUUUCUUAUGAUUCUAUUUUGCCACAUUCCAUUUACCCCAACAGCUUAUUAAGAAUUCCUAUCUCAUUUAUUUAGUGACUUCCCAAGUUUGUAUUUAUAAAUAAGGAAUCUAAAGAAAAAAAAAUCACCCUGGAGUUUUAUAUUAGCUUUGUUAUUCAAAUAAAUAAAAUAUUACCCCUCUUCAACAAGCUGAAAUUUAAGUCUCAACUUAAGAGAUUUAAUUAAAAUUUAGAAAUUCAAUGAUGUGGGGAGAAUGUCUAAUUUAUUGUUAGGAAAUACAGGAAAAAAUUUCAAACGUUUCACUCUGUGAGAACAAUGAGGAUUAAGGCAAGAGUAGAAAAUACCACAAUUAACAAAAAUUAACAUGAUACAUGCAUAUGCUGUGUAUCAUAAAUUAGGCAACCAAGUAUUUUAUAGUAUAAUUGAGGUCUCUCUAAACUACCUGUAAAAGUAGCAAGGCCAACUCCCAUUUAAAAACACCUUUGUUCAUACCAGCAUUAUUCACGAUAGCUAAAAUGUGGAAGCAACGGAAGUGUUCAUUGAUGAAUGAAUGGACAAUCAAAAUAUACAUACAAUGGAAUAUUAUUCAGCCUUAAAAAGAAAGGAAGCUCUGACACAUGCUACAAGAUGGAUAAACCUUAAGGACAUUUUGCUAAAUGAAAUAAGCCAGUCAGAAAAAGACAAAUUCUAUAUGAUUUUACUUAUAUGAGGUACUUAGUCAAAAUCAUAGAGACAGAAAGUAGAAUGAUGGUUGCAAGAGGCUAGGGGGAGGAGAGAAUAGGAAUUAUUAAUUAAUGGGUACAGACUUUCAGUUUUAAAAGAUGAAAAGAGUUAUGGAGAUGGAUGGUGGUAAUGGUAGUACAACAUUAUGAAUGUAUUUAUUAUCACUGUUCACUUAAAAACAAGAUGAUAAAAAUGUAUCAUAAUUUUUAAAAUUAAAAAAAUCCUAUCAGAACAUAUCCAUUUGUUCAAAUAUAUGCUGGCUGUCUG